AAUCAACGCUGGCGGCGUGCCUCAGACAUGCAAGUCGAACGCGAAAGUCCCCUUCGGGGGGCGAGUAGAGUGGCGCACGGGUGAGUAACACGUAGGUAAUCUACCUUUGGAUGGGGAAUAACAACCGGAAACGGUUGCUAAUACCGCAUAAUGCAGCGGCACCUAAUGGUGACAGUUGUUAAAGCGGGGGAUCGCAAGACCUCGCGUCUGAAGAGGAGCCUGCGGCAGAUUAGCUAGUUGGUAGGGUAACGGCUUACCAAGGCGAUGAUCUGUAGCCGGCCUGAGAGGGCGGUCGGCCACACUGACACUGACAUACGGGUCAGACUCCUACGGGAGGCAGCAGUCGGGAAUUUUGGGCAAUGGGCGAAAGCCUGACCCAGCAACGCCGCGUGAAGGAUGAAAUCCCUCGGGAUGUAAACUUCGCAAGAACGGGAAGAAUAAGUAAGAGUUAAUAUCUCUUAUGAUGACGGUACUGUUUGUAAGCUCCGGCUAACUCCGUGC
rnacentral:rRNA from 1 species